rnacentral:tRNA from 1 species
AAGGGUAUAGCUCAGUGGUAGAAUAUGUGUUUAGCAUGAACAAGAUCCUGGGUUCAAUCCCCAGUACCUCUG